UACGGAGGAUGCAAGCGUUAUCCGGAAUUAUUGGGCGUAAAGCGUCCGCAGAUGGUUGUUCAAGUCUAUUGUCAAAGCGCGGGGCUUAACCUCGUACAGGCAGUGGAAACUGAGCGACUAGAGUUCGGUAGGGGUCAGGGGAAUUCCCAGUGUAGCGGUGAAAUGCGUAGAUAUUGGGAAGAACACCAGCGGCGAAAGCGCCUGACUGGGCCUGAACUGACAUUCAUGGACGAAAGCUAGGGGAGCGAAAGGG
rnacentral:rRNA from 1 species